rnacentral:lncRNA from 10 species
UUGAAUGAAACACUCUUGCUUGUAGGUGCACUCCCACUCAUAGACAGGGAGCUUAAGAUGUAUAUAAGCACUAGAAAAAAUCUUCUAACCUUGAGUUGGUCUGGUGAGUUACUCUGACCUUCUCCUUGUAACUGGUUGCAGAAAUAAACUCCCUUCUUUCCCAGUCUGCCUGCAUCUCAUUAUUGGAUCACCAGGACAAGCAGCCAGGCCUCAUUCUGUCCGGGAGCAAAUCUGGUAACUCUCCCAGGAGAGCUCAGCAGCCAGCGGCUCGCAAAGAGGUAGUCUUUGGGUGACCCCCAGCAGCUGCCUGGUAUGGUUUGUCCUGGGGACUCUCCUGAGGACCUUUCUGGCUGCAAAGACUGCCCGUCUCUCUAUUACUGGGAAAGAAUAGAGAUUGGGAGCAGUUGCACUCAAAAGCCCUGCAGCUAGCUGUCCCAAGUAAACAACGCUCUUGGAGUAAAUUGGAAACUCACACAGCAUGGAAACCACAACCUUCUGGACAGACUGAAAGGAUGAAUCAAACACGAAAACAGUGCCAAACUGUGCCAACUAAAAUGGAUUCAGCCUGGUGAUCAAGUGCUGCUGAAAGAAUAAAGAGAAAUGAGCCCAAGUCAGCAGCUACAGGAGAAAUAGAAAGGGCCCCAUGACAUGCUGCUGACUACCAAUUUGGCAAUGAAACUGGCUGGCAUCAAGCCAUGGAUCCACCACAUGCCCGUGAAGAAGUUCCUGCCGGAGGAAACAUUCAUGACACAGGACACCAAGGCUGCCAAAUGGGAGACAGAACCCCUUGAAGGCCUAGGAUUUCUGUUCAAAAGAUGAUAAAGUAUUGUUUUACAUUGUUACAUUGCUGCUUUACAUUGCUGCUGUUUUACAUUGUUAUUUCUGCGUACCUCUAACCUUUUCCUACAAUGGGCAAAGGUUAUGCAAAUAGCUUACAGCAAGACUCUUGCUGGGUCUGUGCUCUAUUACCCCUCUCUGGCACCAUGGGGCUGCCUUGGUGCAUCCCCCACAUACAAGGAAAAAUUAGGUUUAUAAUAUCUUGAUUUUGUAGAACACCUUCCUGGUGGCAGAAAAUUCUUCUUGUCCUAGCUGCCUUCCUGGGCAUGAGCAUAAUACUAUGUUGUGAACUAUAUUAUUGUUAUAUGCUGUUCCAAAACAUUCCUCAGGCUCACAAGAUCAUGUCUUAUCAGGCGCUGCCUUUGAGUCUCUAAAGCCAGAAACAUUACCAGCACCAGAUAGACAUCUUCCACUCUAGCACCCCUUGAUGACAACCCUCUUCAGCAGGAAGUAGAUGGAGGGAAUGCAUACCCACUUUCCCUUAGUCGGCUAUGUCAUAGUUUACACUUUUGCACUAGCCUUUUAACAAACCAGUACUUGAAAAAAUUAACUAACAUGCUAGAAAUCACGUACAAAUUGACAGUGGGGAUUGUGGCAGGCCAGGUUUCCAUUAGCAACCAGAACAGUCAGUUUUCACUAAUCCUUUACUAUAACUCUGAUGAAUAUAUAAGUUAAACAUUAAAGAACUGGAGAAACUGGUCACUAAGUACAAUGGCUGGAAUGCAAAAACAAACCCAUUAAGACCCCAGACCCUAAUGAUUAGAUACAGAUUGAAAGAAACACUCCUGCUUGUAGGUGCACUCCCACACAUAGGCAGAGAGCUUAAAAUGUGUAUAUGCACUAGAAAAAAUAUUGUAACUGCGUUGGUCUGAUGAGUUACUCUGACCUUCUCCUUGUAACUGGUUGCAAAAAUAAACUUUCUUUUUCCCCAGUCUGUCUGCAUCUCAUUAUUGGACUGCGAGAACAAGCCACCAGACCUCUUUCUGUCCGGGAAUACAGUGAACCCAAUAUAUCUGAGACAGACGGAGUCUCCCUCUGUUGCUGUGUCGCCCACGCUGGAGUGUAGUGGCACAACAUCUGCUCACUGCAACUUCUGACACUCAGGUUCAAGCUGUUCUCCUGCUCAGCCUUCCAAAUAGCUGGAACUACAGGCAUGUGCCACUACGCCUGUCUAAUUUUUUAUUUUUAGUAGAGAUGGGGUUUCACCAUGUUGGUCAGGCUGGUCUCAAACUCCUGACCUCGGGUGAUCCACCCUCUUCGGCCUCCCAACAAGCCAAAUUCUUGACUGAAAAUUUUAUCUAUUGUUAAUGGCACAAAUUAAUUACUAUAUAUUCCAUAAAGUCUUUCUUGACUCUCUCCACACUCCCUCCCUGGAGAGGUGAUUUCUCUUUACUCUUACCUUUUUAUCCUUGGUUAUUUUAUUAGCUCAUUUAUGAACUUGUUUAGAAACAGGUCCAUUCUUCUGAAUGUUAGCAGCCAUUUCUUAAUUUUUUCUCAUUUUUAUAUUCAACCAUGUUGAACAUGGUGAAAGAUCAAUAGAUAGCGAGGAAUAAAGGUUAAUACAAAUGAUAUUUCAUUCCAUGAUCUCGUUGGUUCAUUGAACCCAAUCACUCCUGUUAAUUAAAGCAAAGUUUCCUGGUGUUGCUAUAAUUUUUUAAAAUGUAAAAGUGCAAGAAAAAUUUUGGCGAAGAGAAAUUUGGUCAAGUAAUUUUCAAAAGAGAUAGGUAAGUUAGAUAAUAUUAAGCAUCACUGUAACUUUUCUAUUUUAUCAUCCAACAAAGCAUGAAGUGCUAUGUAAUAGGCAGUUUGAACCAUCUCCGAUAACAUACACCUGCACAAUAAGGCAAAACAGCAAAUACAUUGCCCAAGUAAAAAGAUUUGAAAAUGCAGUGUAAUCACAUAAAUGCUAAAUCAUUAGGCCCAAAACAUUCCCUGAAAUUUAUGUAGUAGAGAAAACGUAAGAGGCUCCCAUAACACUUUCUUCUCUAUGAAGCCUUUACCAAAUGAUGAGGACAAAAAAGAUAAUUACCUCCUAACCUAUUCUGAUUGAACAUGCAACUCUCUCCACUCGCCCCCCUCUUUUUCCUCAUCUGCACAUCAUAUAAAUGUAGUACUGUCUUUGGGUAGCUCCUUUACU